UGGCAUGCGUUCCCGUCCGCCGCCGUCCGCCGGACGCCGGGGCCGCCACAUGAGGCCAGAGCUCCGGUCAUGGGAGUGCCGCAAGAUAGCACCUGUCCCUCCUUGUGGGCAUCCUAAUCCUUUCCCCCAGCCCACUCAUCCACCACCCCUUCUCACCUCGGUACGGGGCGCUCGAUGGAGAUUGGAGAGCAAGGGCGAAAUGUUCCUGCGCUACGGGCCGUGCGGCGGGAUCACUGCCGGAACAGCGACCUGCUGCCGCGCCGUGGACACCCCGCUGCUGCACCGCAUGUCCGCACCCAACCCUGCAUCCUCGAUCGGGACAUCGGGAGUGGCCCCUAGUCACCGCCGCGCCCUCCCCCUCCGGCCGCCGGCUAACUGCUCCGUGAGUUGAGGAGGGAGAGGCUAACCGUUUGGAUUGAUUUGAUGCAACUGAAAUCGCUUGGAUUAGGGUGCAUUCUGCAUAUUUUGUUCGCAGCUGCUUGCAUAAUGUGAGAUGAUGCAGUUGCAGUCUAUGGUUGUUUGGGCGAUCGCAAAGCAUUCAGUAAACUGCAAAAUCAGUAGCACUGCAUAACAUGCUUGGGCAACUUUGCAAUGCAUACAACAAAUAUUAUUGAUUAAAGGAAUUCCGAAGUGGAAAAUACUAUGAUGUCCAUCCAGCAACGGCUUGUCUCUCUAUUUAACAGAACUAGCCGAAGAAAUGGCAUCGACCUUGUUGACAGCAAGAAUCUAUUCGACGAUGAGGUGCUGUGCUGCAGUGAUGAAGAGACAGAACUGCCUGUCCAGCUUUAGAAGCACCUCGGACUAUAGUUGAGCAUCAGCGUGGGAUGUCUCAAUAGUUGGUGGCAAAUUCACCUGCACGAGUGCCUAAUUUUAUGAUAGAUUAAUAUCGUCACAAGAGCUGCCUGCUGUUGAACAUUUUGACUUUAGCAUUCAUAAUUCUUCAUGCCACAUUGUCCUGCCUGCUUGUGCUUCCAGCACUUGGAAUCUGAAGUUUGCAAUUUCAAGAUGAACCACAUGCUGCCCAAGCUUCUUAACUGGUGGCACCAUCCGAACCACAUCAUCAUGUUCCAAGUAUUGGCAGCAAGAAUCAGAAUAUAUAGUGGCUUACUCUGGACAAAUCAAUUCUCAAUUCUCAAUUGUUUGCUCAUAUCUCGUGGCGAGAGCUGGCAUGCUAUCAGUUAAGCGGAGCAAGAUCCACUUAACAAGGAUCUUGUGCCUGUUGUUAAGCCACAUCCAAUGUGAAUGUUAGCAGUGUCCAUCUCAUCAAACAACUAGUACUAAUUCUUUUAAUGAUACAAAAAUAAGGAGUUAAAGGGACUUUUUCUUCGAUGCAAAAUUUAUCUGAAGCUCCCAAUUUCAGGUUAGAGUUUAGCAAUUUAGUUGUAUUCCGUGUCAAGUUUGGACAAGAAAAUUCAAAGAUCAGACAAUUUGGACAACAUGAAAUGCUAAGAGUGUUGAGAAGCGAAACUCUGCAUUGGAUCAGUCUCCUGAAGACAAUCUGAAGUUUGCUCUCGAGAUCAACAAUCUCCAACUCCAAGAUCUGCACCUGCUCCUCCUUGCACGUGACUCUCUUCUUCUGGAAUGCCUUGGACACAAGAGACCACUUGCUAGUUGUCGACGUCUGGAUCUCCUUUGACAGGAGGUACAAUGUCAUUUCCAGCAUCAGUAGAGCAAUCUCUCUUGCUUCAGACAAUAGCUUGACCACUCUGCAGCUAUCAGUGUCAAGAACAACCUUUCUGUUGAUCUUCUUGAGCUGCUUCUGGGCCUUCUUGACCAAACGGGCAUAAGACUGAGCCUUGGCCUGAACAGCCACAUUGUCUCCUCUCUUGAGACCCAAUUGCAACUCUUGGACGCUAGUCCUGAGCUCUGUGAAGCUCUCUUGAACGUCAUUGCAGAGGUCAAGCAAGACGAGAGAGCGCUCAAGCUCCUCCUCGACUGCCUUUCUCUGUUGACACUGGCUACUGGGAAAGCAUAUGAGCUCAUCGAUGCAGCUGUAGAUGUCCCCGAGCUUGGACAGACCAUCAACUAUGGUUUUGAUGGUCACAGAAGGAGAAGAGACAGUUGCCAUCAGGUUCUGAAUCUGUUCCUCGACAUUGGUUCCGUUGGAACAAGGGCUUGAGGGCACACUCGCAGAUCUCAGGUGGAAGGCCAUGCUUGGAAUGGAAGGGGAAGUUAUGAAGCCUGUUUCCGCUGAAGAUGUUAUGGAAGGGAAGUCAAGUGCAAUGGUGUCUUCCCAGCUUUGGCUUCCAUCUUUAUAAAGGUGAAGAGGUUGAAGCAACCUCACCGGCGAACCAGCAGACAGCAAGAAUCAUUAUCAUGUGUGAUCGUAGUGACCUGCAACAGAAGCCACUAGACCCAAGAGGCAUUGCUGGUUGAGCUUGAUUAGGAGGCUGUCAUGUCUGCAUUAUGUCUGGCAACAGACCUUCACUGGUGAAUGGCCAUCAAGUUUAGAAGCAGAUUCUGAUCAUUAUCAAUAAAUUAACAUGCAAGUUGCCGGUCGAAGCACAAACAGCUAGUUGACCUCCAGGCUCCCAAGACACAUUUAACCAGCUGAUCAGAGCAUUACACAAUGGCAAUGGCGAUGGCCACUAUAAUUGGUGAACUCGGAUAAGGUGCCGAACUAGCGAUGUUGUCUUCUUGACCUGUCUGUUGCAAACCAUCGAAGUAUCAUGCCAAAAGAAACUUGCCAUUCCAUAUUCUGAUCUGGAACAUUAGAGGCCUCAGCACUUCUGCUCUGUGCUUACUGUAGUGUGAACAGUUCACAAUCUGUUCCACGUCUCCAAGAGACAUGAUGCCUCCAAUCGACCGCUACCGCCAAUUGACUGCUGGACCAAAUUUCGUCACCAACAUUGCUUACCUUCUGGCUCACUUAACCAGGCCGCCCUCUGUUCUACAUAUCUUUCUACCAGGGCCAAUCUACCAGUUCUGCAGUUCAUUGCCAUGAUCCAAGAGUGACAAAACAAGAUCUAUGUAUGACUCCAGAGACUCGCGAAAGAUUUCCCACGGCGUCGAUGAUAAUUUACACACAAGGGUGACCUCCAUGGCUCCAUUCCUCACCAUCUGGGUUCACCACUUUUUGUGAACGUGCCAAUGUGAUCGCACGGCGAGAUCAUAUCACGUGCUGCUGCAACUCAUUGACAAAUGCACAGCGGAGACGAUGUUGUGGGAGGCGUAGAGUUUUGAGCAACAAUUGUGCUAUGCAGACAUGCAGUGCUGGUAAGCCGGAGGAUACAUACACAAAAGGGUCAAUUGUGACGACGACGUCUUCGACCUGAUGCGUUUGCUUGUUUCUCCUUUUUCAUCUUGACUCUUGGCUUGUUGAGCGUGGAGGAUGUUUUUGCAGGGUCUGCAAUCUUUUUCUCCCUACUGGCUACGGCUGGUGCUGACUUUGUAUUGACGUCAUCACUUAUCGACAUGUAUAUACUUUUUUUUUUGAAACGAAAUCGACAUGUAUAUACCUGGCCCAGAUUUUUACGCAGGUGACGCUGUGCACGUUUACUGGUCGGGGUUUCCUUUUUGCAAA